GAUGAACGCUGGCGGCGUGCCUAAUACAUGCAAGUCGAGCGAACAGACGAGGAGCUUGCUCCUCUGACGUUAGCGGCGGACGGGUGAGUAACACGUGGAUAACCUACCUAUAAGACUGGGAUAACUUCGGGAAACCGGAGCUAAUACCGGAUAAUAUAUCGAACCGCAUGGUUCAAUAGUGAAAGACGGUUUUGCUAUCACUUAUAGAUGGAUCCGCGCCGCAUUAGCUAGUUGGUAAGGUAACGGCUUACCAAGGCGACGAUGCGUAGCCGACCUGAGAGGGUGAUCGGCCACACUGGAACUGAGACACGGUCCAGACUCCUACGGGAGGCAGCAGUAGGGAAUCUUCCGCAAUGGGCGAAAGCCUGACGGAGCAACGCCGCGUGAGUGAUGAAGGUCUUCGGAUCGUAAAACUCUGUUAUUAGGGAAGAACAAAUGUGUAAGUAACUAUGCACGUCUUGACGGUACCUAAUCAGAAAGCCACGGCUAACUACGUG
rnacentral:rRNA from 1 species